rnacentral:rRNA from 1 species
UGGCGGACGGGUGAGUAACGUCUGGGAAACUGCCCGAUGGAGGGGGAUAACUACUGGAAACGGUAGCUAAUACCGCAUAACGUCGCAAGACCAAAGAGGGGGACCUUCGGGCCUCUUGCCAUCGGAUGUGCCCAGAUGGGAUUAGCUAGUAGGUGGGGUAACGGCUCACCUAGGCGACGAUCCCUAGCUGGUCUGAGAGGAUGACCAGCCACACUGGAACUGAGACACGGUCCAG